rnacentral:rRNA from 1 species
CCCUUAGAUGUUCUGGGCCGCACGCGCGCUACAAUGGCAGAAUCAACGAGUUGCCUUUACCGACAGGUAUGGGAAAUCUUCUAGUUUCUGCCGUGAUGGGGAUAGACCCUUGUAAUUGUUGGUCUCCAACGAGGAAUUCCUAGUAAACGCAAGUCAUUAACUUGCAUUGAUUACGUCCCUGCCCUUUGUACACACCGCCCGUCGCACCUACCGAUUGAAUGGUCCGGUGAAGUCUUCGGACCGUGGCUUGCCUCGAGCUCGCUGCGGGAAGUUGAGUAAACCUUACUAUUUAGAGGAAGGUGAAGUCGUAACA